rnacentral:rRNA from 1 species
UAGAGUUUGAUCCUGGCUCAGGACGAACGCUGGCGGCGUGCUUAACACAUGCAAGUCGAACGAUGAAGCCUUUCGGGGUGGAUUAGUGGCGAACGGGUGAGUAACACGUGGGCAAUCUGCCCUUCACUCUGGGACAAGCCCUGGAAACGGGGUCUAAUACCGGAUAACACUCUGUCCCGCAUGGGACGGGGUUAAAAGCUCCGGCGGUGAAGGAUGAGCCCGCGGCCUAUCAGCUUGUUGGUGGGGUGAUGGCCUACCAAGGCGACGACGGGUAGCCGGCCUGAGAGGGCGACCGGCCACACUGGGACUGAGACACGGCCCAGACUCCUACGGGAGGCAGCAGUGGGGAAUAUUGCACAAUGGGCGAAAGCCUGAUGCAGCGACGCCGCGUGAGGGAUGACGGCCUUCGGGUUGUAAACCUCUUUCAGCAGGGAAGAAGCGAAAGUGACGGUACCUGCAGAAGAAGCGCCGGCUAACUACGUGCCAGCAGCCGCGGUAAUACGUAGGGCGCAAGCGUUGUCCGGAAUUAUUGGGCGUAAAGAGCUCGUAGGCGGCUUGUCACGUCGGAUGUGAAAGCCCGGGGCUUAACCCCGGGUCUGCAUUCGAUACGGGCUAGCUAGAGUGUGGUAGGGGAGAUCGGAAUUCCUGGUGUAGCGGUGAAAUGCGCAGAUAUCAGGAGGAACACCGGUGGCGAAGGCGGAUCUCUGGGCCAUUACUGACGCUGAGGAGCGAAAGCGUGGGGAGCGAACAGGAUUAGAUACCCUGGUAGUCCACGCCGUAAACGUUGGGAACUAGGUGUUGGCGACAUUCCACGUCGUCGGUGCCGCAGCUAACGCAUUAAGUUCCCCGCCUGGGGAGUACGGCCGCAAGGCUAAAACUCAAGGGAAUU